AAUAAACACAGCUAUGAGUUUCCGCGUCCAACUUUAAUCGUCCGUUUUAUUUAAAAAAAGUUUUAUGAUUAGUAUUUUUAUUGUUAUGAGACGGUAAAACAUGAAUAGUGCUUUACUCGUGACAUAUUUUUUUUAGUUUUUUCAAAAAAAUAAAUAAGACGAACGAUUAAAAUUGGACACAGAAACUCAUGACUGCAUUUAUU
rfam:Oryza meridionalis cultivar OR44 (W2112) chromosome 4, whole genome shotgun sequence.